GACGAACGCUGGCGGCGUGCCUAAUACAUGCAAGUCGAACGCAGUUUCGCACGGGUGAGUAACGCGUAGGUAACUGCCUCAUAGCGGGGGAUAACUAUUGGAAACGAUAGCUAAUACAGCAUACUGUGAGGUGGACCUGCGUUGUAUUAGCUAGUUGGUGAGGUAAAGGCUCACACAGGCGACGAUACAUAGCCGACCUGAGAGGGGGAUCGGCCAAACUGGGACUAGGACACGGCCCAGACUCGUACGGGAGGCAGCAGGAGGGAAUCUGCGGCAAUGGACGGAAGUCUGACCGAGCAACGACGCGGGAGUGAAUAAGGUUUUCGGAUCGUAAAGCUCUGGUAUUAGAGAAACGGUAACUAACCAGAAAGGGACGGCUAACUACGUGCCAGCAGCCGCGGUAAUAC
rnacentral:rRNA from 1 species